AGUGAACGCUGUCGGUAGGCCUAACACAUUCAAGUCGAACGGCAGCACCGUCAGAGCUUGCUCUUACGUGUGGCGAGUGGCGUACGGGUGAGGAAUACAUCGGAAUCUACUUUUUCGUGGGGGAUAACGUAGGCAAACUUACGCUAAUACCGCAUACGACCUACGGGUGAAAGCAGGGGAUCUUCGGACCUUGCGCUAUUGAAUGAGCCGAUGUCGGAUUUGCUAGUUGGCGGGGUAAAGGCCCACCAAGGCGACGAUCCGUAGCUGCUAUGAGAGGAUGACCAACCACCCUGGAAUUGAGACACGGUCCAGAACAAUACGGAAGGCAGCAGUGGGAAAUAUUGGAAAAUGGGCGCAAGCCUGAUCCAGCCAUACCGCGUGGGUGAAGAAGGCCUUCGGGUUGUAAAGCACUUUUGUUGGGAAAGAAAAGCAGAAGGUUAAUACCCCGCUGUUAUGACGGUACACAAAGAAUAAGCACCGGCUAACUUCGUG
rnacentral:rRNA from 1 species